rnacentral:rRNA from 1 species
ACCGGCAGCUCAAGUGGUGGCCAUUAUUAUUGGGAAUAAAGCGUUCGUAGCCGGUUUGAUAAGUCUCUGGUGAAAUCCCGCAGCUUAACUGUGGGACUUGCUGGAGAUAAUAUCAGACUUGAGGUCGGGAGAGGUUAGGGGUACUCCCAGGGUAGGGGUGAAAUCCUAUAACCCUGGGAGGACCACCUGCGGCGACGGCGCCUAACUGGAACGAACCUGACGGUGAGUAACGAAAGCCAGGGGCGCGAACCG